UACAGAGGUGGCAAGCGUUGUUCGGAAUUACUGGGCGUAAAGGGCGCGUAGGCGGUCUUUUAAGUUCCGUGUGAAAUCCCUCGGCUCAACUGGGGAACUGCACGGAAAACUGGGAGGCUUGAGUUCGGGAGAGGGAAGCGGAAUUCCGGGUGUAGCGGUGAAAUGCGUAGAUAUCCGGAGGAACACCGGUGGCGAAGGCGGCUUCCUGGACCGACACUGACGCUGAGGCGCGAAAGCUAGGGGAGCAAAC
rnacentral:rRNA from 1 species